rnacentral:rRNA from 1 species
UACGUAGGGUCCAAGCGUUAUCCGGAAUCACUGGGCGUAAAGCGCACGUAGGCGGAUUUGCCAGUCAGGGGUGAAAUCCCGGGGCUCAACCUCGGAACUGCCUUUGAUACAGCAAGUCUUGAGUUCGAGAGAGGUGGGUGGAAUUCCUAGUGUAGAGGUGAAAUUCGUAGAUAUUAGGAAGAACACCGGUGGCGAAGGCGGCCCACUGGCUCGACACUGACGCUGAGGUGCGAAAGCGUGGGGAGCAAACAGG